rnacentral:rRNA from 1 species
UGGGGAAUAUUGGACAAUGGGCGAAAGCCUGAUCCAGCAAUGCCGCGUGGAUGAAGAAGGUCUUCGGAUUGUAAAGUCCUUUCGGCGGGGACGAUGAUGACGGUACCCGCAGAAGAAGCCCCGGCUAACUUCGUGCCAGCAGCCGCGGUAAUACGAAGGGGGCUAGCGUUGCUCGGAAUGACUGGGCGUAAAGGGCGCGUAGGCGGCCUGGUUAGUUAGAUGUGAAAUUCCUGGGCUUAACCUGGGGACUGCAUUUAAUACAGCCAAGCUUGAGUGUGGAAGAGGGUCGUGGAAUUCCCAGUGUAGAGGUGAAAUUCGUAGAUAUUGGGAAGAACACCGGUGGCGAAGGCGGCGACCUGGUCCAUUACUGACGCUGAGGCGCGAAAGCGUGGGGAGCAAACAGGAUUAGAUACCCGCGUAGUCC